rnacentral:rRNA from 1 species
GAUGAACGCUGGCGGCGUGCCUAAUACAUGCAAGUCGAGCGAACAGACGAGGAGCUUGCUCCUCUGACGUUAGCGGCGGACGGGUGAGUAACACGUGGAUAACCUACCUAUAAGACUGGGAUAACUUCGGGAAACCGGAGCUAAUACCGGAUAAUAUAUUGAACCGCAUGGUUCAAUAGUGAAAGACGGUUUUGCUGUCACUUAUAGAUGGAUCCGCGCCGCAUUAGCUAGUUGGUAAGGUAACGGCUUACCAAGGCAACGAUGCGUAGCCGACCUGAGAGGGUGAUCAGCCACACUGGAACUGAGACACGGUCCAGACUCCUACGGGAGGCAGCAGUAGGGAAUCUUCCGCAAUGGGCGAAAGCCUGACGGAGCAACGCCGCGUGAGUGAUGAAGGUCUUCGGAUCGUAAAGCUCUGUUAUUAGGGAAGAACAAAUGUGUAAGAAACUAUGCACGUCUUGACGGUACCUAAUCAGAAAGCCACGGCUAACUACGUG